GAACCUCCCAGACAGCCUGGUGGUCUUCCUUUGCACCUGAUGUGGAUUCUUAUUCCUGGAUAGCUAAGAGAUAAGUUGAGGGCUAUGACUCACAGAGGGGAUGGAAGGGGGCUGCUGUGUCAGGACUCACCAGGUGGGAUUUUUGAGUCAGCUUUGGAGCUGAGGAUAUCCAGGAAAUGUUGUCUUGAGGCCACACAAAAGCAAAGUGUCAUUUUUGAUCCCGGCGCUGAGGUGCGCAGGGCAGAGCAGUCCCGGUGUGUGUUGUGUCACGUGGCUAUUGUGCAUUAUGUGUUAUUUAAUGUCUUUUCCCCUAGCCCUUUGAGGGGCCUAACAGAAACCCUGGCAUCAUUCUUAGCGUCUGUGAUCUCUGCAUUUCUUGGCCUGGCACCAAUGCAAUAGGACUUUUGGCUCAGGAGCGCAGACAGGCAUCAGAAUUACAUUUCUCUUUAGGAGCAUCCAGUCAGAUGUCUUGUAAGGUCUUGUUCUGAGCUGUAUGUACAUUGCAAGGAUCCAUUAUGGCAGAUUAGGGCUUGUAUGAAUGCAAAGAUAGGUAGAGGAUGCUGACCGUAGGAUUCUCAGACAUCCAUCUUUGUAGUUCUUGGAAUAAACCAUUGUCUUAGCAGGUUCUUCCUCCAGGGUUCUGUGAGCCUCAUCAGCUCGCCAUCGGUCUCACCUCGGUCAUCUAAUCUUGCGUUCUCUCAGUCCUUGCAGUCAUUCCUCUUGCCAUGAGAUUUCUGUCCCUGUUGCGUCCCCUUUGUUUGUCACGUCCUGUCCCGUGUCACGGGUGUCUGCACGUAUUUGUGCCGGAGCUGCUCUGCCCUGCCGCGUAGCCUGGUGUAAUAGGACGCAUCCUGGGGGCUUGAAAUUUGUAAUGUGGGGUGUAGUUGGAUUCUAGAUGGGAUUUGUAGAUGGACACAAGGUGCCUGGAGCAGUGAAGUUAUCCUGCAGCCCUUUGACUUUUGUCCUUUCUUUCAGAUCCAGGCGGAUGAAAUCCGUGGCAGAGCACCCCAUCCUGGCUGAGGGGCUUCCUCCGAGCAGGAAGUAAAGCUGGAUAUCAGCAGUCAAGGCAAUCCAUUUGGAGUAGGCCGAGCCCCCCCACCCCCCAACCGGCCGAUGGAUCGGGUUUACUGCUCUUGUGAGCCCUGUGCAGGUAUUGCAGGACUCUGUGAUGAAGCCCUGAACAUUUGUUUAAAGGUGCCAUCCGGCUGGCCUUUGGCAGCUGCCGAGGAGUUGCGGCACACCCUGCCAUGAUGGCAUCGGCCUCCAAGCGUUGCUGAAGCUAAUGGCAUUAGGAGACGCUAUGAGGCAGCAGCCCAGUGACAGCGAGAACUUCCCAGAUGGCAAGGCGGCCUUCUUUUGCGCCUGAUGCAGAUUGUCAUCCCCAGAUGUCUGAGAGAUAAGUCGAGGGCUACAACUCCUCGAGGGGGUGAAUGUGGGGUGCUGGGUUGGGACUCGCCGGGAGGGGUUUUUGAGUCAGCUUUGGGGCUGAGGCUAUCCAAGUAGUGUCCCCUUAGGCCACAUAACGGGAAAGUGUCACUUUUGAUCCCGGUGCUGAGGUGCGCAGGGCAGAGCAGUUCCAGUGUGUAUCGUGUCACUUGUCUAACGUGCCUGGUGUUUAUAUGUCGCAUGUCGUGCAUCGUCUACCUUAGCCCUUUGAGGGGCUCAUCAGAAACCCUGGCAUCAUUCUUAGCGUCUGUGAUCUCUGCAUUUCCUGGUCUGGCACCAAUGCCACAGGACUUUUGACUCAGGAGCUCAGACAGGCAUCAGAAUUGCAUUUCUCUUUAGGAGCAUCCAGUCAGAUGUCUUUGCAGGUCUUGUUCUGAGCAGUAUUUACCUUGCAAGGAUCCAUUAUGGCAGAUUAGGGCUUGUAAGAAUGCAAAGAUAGGUAGAGGAUGCUGACCGUCGGUUUCUCAGACGUCCAUCUUUGCAGUUCUUUGACGAAAUCAUUCUCUUAGGAGAUACUUCCUCCAUGGUUGUCUGAGCCUCAUCACCUCACUGUCAAUCUCACCUCAGUCAUUUCAUUUUCCAUUCUCUCAGUCCUUGCAGUCAUUCUUCUUGUCAAGAGAUAGUAGUCCCUGUUGUGUCCUCAUUGUUUGUCCUCUGUUUGACCCUGUCCCGUGUCACGGGCGUCCGCACACGUUUGUGCCGGAGCUGCUCUGCCCUGCCGCGUAGCCUGGUGUAAUAGGACACAUCCUGGGGGCUUGAAAUUUGUAGUGUGGGGUGUAGUUGGAUUCUAGAUGGUAUUCCUAGGUUGACCCUAGGAAGUUGUCUGGAGCUGUGAAGUUAUCCUGCAGCCCUUUGAACUUUGUCCUGACUCUGUUUCAGAUGCAGACGGAUAAAAUCCAUGGCAGAACUCCCCAUCCCAGGAAGUAAAGCCAUCUAGCAGCAGUCAAGGCGAAGUGGUUGAGGCAGUCCACUUUCAAUCCAUGCCAGCUGAGGAUGCCCGAUGCCAGGUACCUUCCAGGCAGACUCUGGAGUCAAAUCAAGAUUUGAGGUACCGCGAGGAGCUUCGUGGGCAAAGUUUGGAGAGAGCACCACCGAAGCACACGAGACCGUCUCAACGUCCACGUCCCACCGGGGAUGGAUUUUGUCAGCUUGUCUUCCAAAAGCUAAGUGUUGGGGUCCAUAGUUGGGAGAAGGGGAAAAACCUUUACUAUCACAGGAGGCCAUGUGAUGUUAGCUUAGCGGAGCAAUCUGUAGCGUAACAGGUCCCUCAGAUGUAAGGGGAGAGGGUUUCUCCUC